AUGAACGCUGGCGGCGUGCCUAAUACAUGCAAGUCGAGCGAACAGACGAGGAGCUUGCUCCUCUGACGUUAGCGGCGGACGGGUGAGUAACACGUGGAUAACCUACCUAUAAGACUGGGAUAACUUCGGGAAACCGUAGCUAAUACCGGAUAAUAUAUUGAACCGCAUGGUUCAAUAGUGAAAGACGGUUUUGCUGUCACUUAUAGAUGGAUCCGCGCCGCAUUAGCUAGUUGGUAAGGUAACGGCUUACCAAGGCGACGAUGCGUAGCCGACCUGAGAGGGUGAUCGGCCACACUGGAACUGAGACACGGUCCAGACUCCUACGGGAGGCAGCAGUAGGGAAUCUUCCGCAAAGGGCGAAAGCCUGACGGAGCAACGCCGCGUGAGUGAUGAAGGUCUUCGGAUCGUAAAACUCUGUUAUUAGGGAAGAACAAAUGUGUAAGUAACUAUGCACGUCUUGACGGUACCUAAUCAGAAAGCCACGGCUAACUACGUG
rnacentral:rRNA from 1 species